rnacentral:rRNA from 1 species
GACGAACGCUGGCGGCGUGCCUAAUACAUGCAAGUUGAGCGCUGAAGGUUGGUACUUGUACCGACUGGAUGAGCAGCGAACGGGUGAGUAACGCGUGGGGAAUCUGCCUUUGAGCGGGGACAACCUUUGGAAACGAAUGCUAAUACCGCAUAAAAACUUUAAACACAAGUUUUAAGUUUGAAAGAUGCAAUUUCAUCACUCAAAGAUGAUCCCGCGUUGUAUUAGCUAGUUGGUGAGGUAAAGGCUCACCAAGGCGAUGAUACAUAUCCGACCUGAGAGGGUGGACCGCCACAUUGGGACUGGGACCAGGCCCAAACUCCUAAGGGAGGGAGCAGUAAGGGAUCUUCGGCCAUGGACGAAAGUCUGACCGAGGAAAGGCGCGUGAGUGAAGAAGGUUUUCGGAUCGUAAAACUCUGUUGGUAGAGAAGAACGAUAGUGAGAGUGGAAAGCUCAUCAAGUGACGGUAACUACCCAGAAAGGGACGGCUAACUACGUG